UUGUAUCGAUUUAAAGCCUACAGCUUGAUAAGAUGAUAAGAUUUUUAAAAAUCAUAACCUGGAAUACCCUAUUAGGGGUAGCCCUGCAGAAAGCUGCAUUACAGUCUGGCAACACCUAGCAAAUGUUCACACAUUCAAACAAUGUAAACAAUUAGUUAUUUUUAAAAGGAAUUAGUAUAUAUGUAUUGGUAUAUAGUAGUAUGCUUCCAGUAAAAAGAGGACUUUAAGGAGCAGAUUUAACGCUACUUGUCGGUUAUGCAGCAGCUCAGUGCGCAUCCUGCUCAAUCCCAGCCACCCAUUAAUCAUUCCAUUUGGCGGAUCGGGAGGAGGAGCAGGCAGGAAGAGGACCAGAAACAGGAGCAGGAACUGGAACAGGAACAGGAAUUCACCCACAUGUCAUUUGCAACGGAAAUUGCCGAUGGGAAGGGGAAGAGCCAGGGGAAACGCCAUGGAAAAGCAACGUACGGACGGGCAAAACGAUAUGGAAAUUGAAAAUCUGUAUGCAACGCCUGUCCCGAUUGCGUCCUUCAGCCUGCGGUCGCAGCUUAACUACCCCGCAACCACACGUCCUCUCACAGGUGGAAAAAUCAACAACAAGAGCGACUACGGAUUACUCUCAGUGGCAUAUGUGCAUGGGAAAUGGAUGUAUCUUUCUACUCGGUUUCGUUUCGAUGAGAUCCUGCAAAACUGUUUUUUUUUUAGCCAGAUUAAUUCCAAUAGCCAAUGGCUUAGUUGUUAAUACCUCUUACCAAAUAAGACUUGUGGCACUUAAGCUUGGCUACCAUUUUGUUGUGGGAAAAGCCAGCAAUUCUGCUAAUCUGGCUUAAGCAUAAAUUCUUGCUAUUUUGAAGCUUUGUUCAAAAAUGUAAUAAUGUUCUUUUCUUUGCCAAAAUAAAUGUCCCUUCCAAGUGGCUCUAUGUCAUCAA